CGAGGAAUCUUGGUCAAUGGGCGCAAGCCUGAACCAGCGACGCCGCGUGGAGGACGACGGCCCUCGGGUUGUAAACUCCUUUUGCGUGGGACGAAGCACUGACGGUACCACGCGAAUCAGCCACGGCUAACUACGUGCCAGCAGCCGCGGUAAUACGUAGGUGGCGAGCGUUGUCCGGAUUUAUUGGGCGUAAAGCGCGCGCAGGCGGUAUCGUAAGUCCGGUGUGAAAGCGCCCGGCUCAACUGGGCGAGGUCAUUGGAGACUGCGGUGCUGGAGGGUGGCAGAGGCCGGUGGAAUUCCCGGUCGUAGUGGUGGAAAUGCGUAGAGAUCGGGAGGAACACCAGUGGCGAAGGCGGCCGGCUGGGCCGAUACCUGACGCUGAGGCGCGAAAGACGUGGGGAGGCGAACCGGAUUAGAUACCCGGGUAGUCCACGCCGUAAACGAUGACCACUAGAUGUGGGGGGUAGUCGACCCCCUCCGCGUCGGAGCUAACGCGAUAAGUGGUCCGCCU
rnacentral:rRNA from 1 species